rnacentral:rRNA from 1 species
GGCCGCGGGAAUUCGAUUAGAGUUUGAUUAUGGCUCAGGCACUUAGCUGGCGGCGUGCCUAACACAUGCAAGUCGAACGAACCAUCCCUUCCGAUGAAUGGACCAGCUUGCUGGGAAAGGAAUCAAUUGGGAUGACUGAGUGGCGGACGGGUGAGUAACGCGUGGGUAACCUGCCCCAUAGGGGGGGACAACAGCUGGAAACGGCUGCUAAUACCGCAUAGCAGGAAAGAGACGCAUGUCUUUUUCUUCAAAGAUUUAUCGCUAUGGGAUGGACCCGCGUCUGAUUAGCUAGUUGGUAAGGUAACGGCCUACCAAGGCGACGAUCAGUAGCCGGCUUGAGAGAGUGGACGGCCACAUUGGGACUGAGACACGGCCCAGACUCCUACGGGAGGCAGCAGUGGGGAAUAUUGCACAAUGGGGGAAACCCUGAUGCAGCGACGCCGCGUGAGUGAAGAAGUAUUUCGGUAUGUAAAGCUCUAUCAGCAGGGAAGAUAAUGACGGUACCUGACUAAGAAGCCCCGGCUAACUACGUGCCAGCAGCCGCGGUAAUACGUAGGGGGCAAGCGUUAUCCGGAUUUACUGGGUGUAAAGGGUGCGUAGGUGGCAGGGCAAGUCAGAUGUGAAAGCCCGGGGCUCAACCCCGGUACUGCAUUUGAAACUGUCCAGCUGGAGUGCAGGAGAGGUAAGCGGAAUUCCUAGUGUAGCGGUGAAAUG